rnacentral:rRNA from 1 species
UACGUAGGGUGCAAGCGUUAAUCGGAAUACUGGGCGUAAAGCGUGCGCAGGCGGUGAUGUAAGACAGAUGUGAAAUCCCCGGGCUCAACCUGGGAACUGCAUUUGUGACUGCAUCGCUAGAGUACGGCAGAGGGGGAUGGAAUUCCGCGUGUAGCAGUGAAAUGCGUAGAUAUGCGGAGGAACACCGAUGGCGAAGGCAAUCCCCUGGGCCUGUACUGACGCUCAUGCACGAAAGCGUGGGAGCAAACAGG